UACGUAGGGGGCUAGCGUUGUCCGGAAUCAUUGGGCGUAAAGAGCGUGUAGGCGGCUCGGUAAGUCCGCUGUGAAAGUCGGGGGCUCAACCCUCGAAUGCCGGUGGAUACUGUCGGGCUAGAGUGCGGAAGAGGCGAGUGGAAUUCCUGGUGUAGCGGUGAAAUGCGCAGAUAUCAGGAGGAACACCUGUCGCGAAGGCAGCUCGCUGGGACGUAACUGACGCUGAGACGCGAAAGCGUGGGGAGCAACAGG
rnacentral:rRNA from 1 species